GAUGAACGCUGGCUGCGUGCCUAAUACAUGCAAGUCGAGCGAACGGACGAGAAGCUUGCUUCUCUGAUGUUAGCGGCGGACGGGUGAGUAACACGUGGAUAACCUACCUAUAAGACUGGGAUAACUUCGGGAAACCGGAGCUAAUACCGGAUAAUAUUUUGAACCGCAUGGUUCAAAAGUGAAAGACGGUCUUGCUGUCACUUAUAGAUGGAUCCGCGCUGCAUUAGCUAGUUGGUAAGGUAACGGCUUACCAAGGCAACGAUGCAUAGCCGACCUGAGAGGGUGAUCGGCCACACUGGAACUGAGACACGGUCCAGACUCCUACGGGAGGCAGCAGUAGGGAAUCUUCCGCAAUGGGCGAAAGCCUGACGGAGCAACGCCGCGCGAGUGAUGAAGGUCUUCGGAUCGUAAAACUCUGUUAUUAGGGAAGAACAUAUGUGUAAGUAACUGUGCACAUCUUGACGGUACCUAAUCAGAAAGCCACGGCUAACUACGUGCCAGCAGCCGCGGUAAUACGCAGGUGGCAAGCGUUAUCCGGAAUUAUUGGGCGUAAAGCGCGCGUAGGCGGUUUUUUAAGUCUGAUGUGAAAGCCCACGGCUCAACCGUGGAGGGUCAUUGGAAACUGGAAAACUUGAGUGCAGAAGAGGAAAGUGGAAUUCCAUGUGUAGCGGUGAAAUGCGCAGAGAUAUGGAGGAACACCAGUGGCGAAGGCGACUUUCUGGUCUGUAACUGACGCUGAUGUGCGAAAGCGUGGGGAUCAAACAGGAUUAGAUACCCUGGUAGUCCACGCCGUAAACGAUGAGUGCUAAGUGUUAGGGGGUUUCCGCCCCUUAGUGCUGCAGCUAACGCAUUAAGCACUCCGCCUGGGGAGUACGACCGCAAGGUUGAAACUCAAAGGAAUUGACGGGGACCCGCACAAGCGGUGGAGCAUGUGGUUUAAUUCGAAGCAACGCGAAGAACCUUACCAAAUCUUGACAUCCUUUGACAACUCUAGAGAUAGAGCCUUCCCCUUCGGGGGGGCAAAGUGACAGGUGGUGCAUGGUUGUCGUCAGCUCGUGUCGUGAGAUGUUGGGUUAAGUCCCGCAACGAGCGCAACCCUUAAGCUUAGUUGCCAUCAUUAAGUUGGGCACUCUAAGUUGACUGCCGGUGACAAACCGGAGGAAGGUGGGGAUGACGUCAAAUCAUCAUGCCCCUUAUGAUUUGGGCUACACACGUGCUACAAUGGACAAUACAAAGGGCAGCGAAACCGCGAGGUCAAGCAAAUCCCAUAAAGUUGUUCUCAGUUCGGAUUGUAGUCUGCAACUCGACUACAUGAAGCUGGAAUCGCUAGUAAUCGUAGAUCAGCAUGCUACGGUGAAUACGUUCCCGGGUCU
rnacentral:rRNA from 1 species